GGUCUCCGCUUCCCUGCUUUUAGGCAACUCUGAGACUAAAGCUACGCCUCACCUACAACCACUUUGGCCAGCCAGUACAGGAGACCUUUGAGGUGGACAACUUGCCUGUGGAGACCUGGCAGUAACUUGCUGUGGCUUGGAUUCUGUAAGCCUUUCUUUACUGUGCAUGACCCCUCCCAUGAUGCAUCUGAUUUUACUCAUAUGUUCAUUCUACAUAGGCACAGGAUGGUAAAUAGAAGAUUUGCCUUAAAAACCCAUCUUGAUCCAAUCAGCUCCCUAUUUUCCAUACUCGGGUAUGUUCUAAAAUGUUUGAAUAAAAACUGUCCACCAAA